UUUUUCUUCUCUGAUGGAACGGAUGAAAGUGUGUUGAUAAUCGAUGGCAUGAGAACCUGUGUGUUUUUUUUCUUUUCCAUUCCAUGCACUGACGAUGGCUUUGCUAACCCGAGCCGAUUUUAUUUCGGUAGAUCGUUGACGUGUGCUGGAUUUCUGUUCAUUGUCUCUUCAUUUCCUCCGUGCUUUUGGAUGCCCAAACGUUCCUGCACCUCUGGUCGCUUUAUUCCUUCACAGUGGACGCGGGUUUAUCUUUUUCCUUUUCGAAUCGUUGACCAUGAAACAAUGUAUUUCCAUCUUUAAUAUUCCUCCGUCCGGUGAAGGUAGCUGUAUUUGAGUGAACGUUACGAGACGCGCUCAGUGCCGUCUCGUGUUUUUUCAUGUGGGGCGGGUUGGGGGGGGGGGGGGGGUCGACGCUCCACGUCAAUAUUUGGUGUUUAACGUCCAGAAAUUGUGCCUUCGAGUGUUUUCUAUUCAGACGGGCUGUAAUUCAAAGUGAUCUGUGACUCAACAUGUUUUCUGCAUUCCUGUAUUUUGAAAGCUUUAAAUUUCUUUGUAAGAAGAAUCUAAAAAAAAAAAAUUAUAAUAAUUAUAUUUCAUACUUAAUAUAUUUCUAAAACAACCUUUUAAAAAGUUCUAUAAAUGAGUGGAAUAUUGAUUGACUGACAUGUUUUUGUCAAUAUUUUGUUAUUAAAGCUUUAAAGAAAGCCAAAUUGGGAGGAUUUCAGUCAAAUAUUGUUGGCGCUGAUUUGCGCGUACUUUUCUCACACACUCUCUCUGUCUCUAAUAGGACGAUUCUCUUCAGUAAUCACGAUCAAACAAAACCUUUUUCUUUUAAAAAUAAAAAAAUUCCUGUUCUAACACACCCACAACUCCGUUUGCCCUGAUUGGCUGGAUGUUUACUUCCAUUUGAAGUCUAGUUAUUUGUUCAGUGUACUUCAUUCAGAUGGAUCGCAUGCUGUGAUGUUUUAGGAGGCUGUGCCUCUGUCGCUCUGUUGUUGAUGAUUAACAGCGUUUUCUGGAC
ensembl:lncRNA